rnacentral:rRNA from 1 species
CAGUAGCCGCGGUAAUACGUAGGGUGCGAGCGUUAAUCGGAAUUACUGGGCGUAAAGCGGGCGCAGACGGUUACUUAAGCAGGAUGUGAAAUCCCCGGGCUCAACCUGGGAACUGCGUUCUGAACUGGGUGACUAGAGUGUGUCAGAGGGAGGUAGAAUUCCACGUGUAGCAGUGAAAUGCGUAGAGAUGUGGAGGAAUACCGAUGGCGAAGGCAGCCCCCUGGGCCAAUACUGACGCUCAUGCACGAAAGCGUGGGGAGCAAACAGGAUUAGAUACCCCAGUAGUCCCUGUCUCUUAUAC